CUUUUUUGUUUCAUUGUUUUUAUUAGUUAAUGUUUUAAACAUACAUAAUCUUUCUUUUUUGUUCAGGAUACCAGAUUUUACAAUAAACAGACAUUGAAUAUAAAUAUACAUGGAAUGCAUUAGUUGUUGCAUUAUGAUUUUUAAAAAUAUACAUUUAUAAUAUAUAAUUGGAAAUUGCAGCUUAGAUUCAAUAACAGUGACUUGUAUGUAAAAAUAUAAAAGAAUGCUGACUUCUGUAGCACACAAAUUACAGAUAUUUUUAUAACAUAGAUGUUUGUAAUCUUUCAGUCAACAAUGUUUAAAAUAUUGUCAUGUUAUUAAAUACAAAAAAAUAUUAUUUAAAUAAAACAAAAGAUUGACAAUGCAAUCACUCAAAUUGUUCGUUAGUGAGAUAUUCAAAUUUGCUAAUAGGAAAGGCUAACUGAUAUCCUAUGAAUAAUUUUUCCCCUACAUUAUGUUGUAAUUCUAAUUUAUAAAAACAGUCUAACAAUUAAUGUUUGUAUUUAAAUUAAAAAAAACAGCCCUUGUCUAUCUUUUUGUAAAUUUAAAGUAGAUAAAUAAUGUCAAGAACAAGAGACUAGCAAAAUGUUACGACUUCUUUAAUGUUUAGAAGGCAUUGUUUGAUUACUCAAAUCAUUAGAGUCAUGGCUGUCAGCACAUAGAAGAGAUAAAUGGUUUGUAUUCAAAGAUAAAUGUUCCUGUAUCUUGUGCAUUGUUACCAUAGAAAAACUGUAUAAAACACUAGUGUCUCCAUGUAUGAAUUAGAUGGAAGCUUGCUAGUAUGUUAGCCUAUUCCUCUAUAUUAAUUUGUCAUAACAAGGACUGCACAGAGAAUGGAGUGUCAAGAAUUCAAUAUACAUUGUCUAAAAAUAAAAUAAUUGCUAAACUUAAUAAUGACUGAUUAAUGAAGUCAAUUGCAUUGACAUAGACUGCUCUAGGGACAUAACAAAGAAGAAAAAAGACUCUAGACACGCCAUUGGAAUUACUGAAAAGCUAAAUGGUAGAUAAAUAUAGAAAAAGUUACAGGAGGUUGGCUUACUGUUCCAGACAGGUAGAGGCUAUAAUGCAGGAUGAAAUGGUGCUCCAUUGCUGAUGGAAAGAGAUCUGGUGAUAGCAUAGCUUGCAUAUAAACAUUGUUAGUAUAUAACCAUGCUUUUGAGUGCAAAAUAAACAAAGCUUUGUUUUUUAAAUGUUAGACAUGUAUUGCAUGUAUAUAUUUUGAAUAUAAAAUGAGUGAAUAUUAUAAGUAAAUGUCUUAACCACGGAGCAAGUAGCCAACCAAAUAAAAUAGAAUGUUAUUGAAACUGAACUAACUGAAGUCAACUGAGAAAAAUGUUAUAAGAGUCAAUGUUAAUGUUGAAUGUUGUACUCAUAAAGAUAAAACAAAAGGAAUUAUUCUUGUCAUAAAUAAUUAAAACUUUUAUAAAGCACUACUUUCAUGCUUAUGCUCAGAGAGCUAUGGUCCAAUUUCAUUUGUGGACCAGUGGUGGGAGGGGGUAUUUGGGGAAGGUUUUCCAUGCUGCCUUUUGGCACUCAGUAAACACAACUCUGCGCUCGAGUCGG